GAUGAACGCUGGCGGCGUGCCUAAUACAUGCAAGUCGAGCGAACAGAUGAGGAGCUUGCUCCUCUGACGUUAGCGGCGGACGGGUGAGUAACACGUGGAUAACCUACCUAUAAGACUGGGAUAACUUCGGGAAACCGGAGCUAAUACCGGAUAAUAUAUUGAACCGCAUGGUUCAAUAGUGAAAGACGGUUUUGCUGUCACUUAUAGAUGGAUCCGCGCCGCAUUAGCUAGUUGGUAAGGUAACGGCUUACCAAGGCAACGAUGCGUAGCCGACCUGAGAGGGUGAUCGGCCACACUGGAACUGAGACACGGUCCAGACUCCUACGGGAGGCAGCAGUAGGGAAUCUUCCGCAAUGGGCGAAAGCCUGACGGAGCAACGCGGCGUGAGUGAUGAAGGUCUUCGGAUCGUAAAACUCUGUUAUUAGGGAAGAACAAAUGUGUAAGUAACUAUGCACGUCUUGACGGUACCAAAUCAGAAAGCCACGGCUAACUACGU
rnacentral:rRNA from 1 species